rnacentral:tRNA from 1 species
CGUAGCUCAAUUGGCAGAGCGUUCGACUGUUAAUCGAUAGGUUGCUGGUUCGAGUCCAGCCG